AUGCACAUUUCAUUGUCUUUAUAUCAAGAGAAAAGAUAUUUCUGAUGUGCUAAACCUUUGGCGGUGAAUUAGCAACAUGACUAAUUUAGCCAUUGCUGUCACCUUCAGACAAAU
rnacentral:snoRNA from 1 species